AUACCUUGACCGGAGCAUAACUGGUUAACUUCACACAAGAGACCUACUGUUGGACAAUUGGUUUUGGCUUUAAAGGAGAAAGUCAUCGCUCUGUAAUUGGCCCUUGGACUCCCCUGGCAUCUCGUGUAAAGCAUGAAGUUUUCAGCUAUGAAGAUUUCCAGAGACUCAAGAAUUAAAAACAAGCCGUGAUGGAUGAGAACCAAGCCCUUAGGGAGGAGAACCAAGCUCUGAGGGAAAGCACUGCACGAGCAGCUUCGGAUGACAGCGGCUCACUUCAAGAGCAGGUGAAGCAAGUUGGGACAAUGUUGAAGACGUUUGCUCGCACUGGGCAAUCAGGUGCAGAUCAGACCUUAAUGCUGCGACGUCUUGGAGAGUUUGGCGAUGUUGUGCGAAGCAUGGACAACAAAAUGGACACUAUGCUGCAACAUUUCAGUGCCAAUGUGUCUGUUGGAGAGUUAUCCCUGCCAGGGGAUCUGUUACUCCCCCUAGACACCCAGGAAGAUUUGGCGUUGCUUGACAACAGUUUGAGGCAGGAUAAAGAGCUCCAGGAACGAUUUCUUCGGUUUUUUUGGCAAUCAAAUGUGGGAGGGACCUAUAAGACAACCGUCUGGCGGAUGCUUCAAAGUACCUUCUCUAAUCACCUUUCCAUCAAUACAACCUGGACUGGAGUUGGGGAUAAAGCAUGUUUUAGAGACAUGUUCCUGAAGACCAUUGUUCAAAGUAAGUUGGAUGUAAUGUUUAGUAGAUGUGUAUGGCAUUAUGCCAUUCAAAUGGAAUGACAGAUCUGUAUUUUUCUACAGGAGCCAUCCGGAAGAACCCGGCAACACAGGAUGCCACUGAUGAAGCCGUCCCAGGUUAACGUUACGCGUUACCUGAAAGGAGCAUCUGACCGUGAAGGCGGAAAAAGGUGCCGCACAGCUGAGAGGGACCCACAGCAGACCCCUUAAACCUAGGCUGACUACUGACACCCCAGCAUCACUGACAACUGGAACCCUUUCUUUAUCCUGCAGUCAGUAACAUCAAGACCCCUAAAGAAGCCAGAAGUGUCAGACUGCACUCCCCAAUCCACACUGUUCACUGUGGAUAUUAUCAUAGUGCUUAACUCUUAUUAUAUUGUUAAAUAUAGCUUGUAAAUCCUUGUGCCACAGGUCAGCAUUGCAGUUAUAUCUGUUCUACUACUUUUUUUACCUCAGUAUUUUUUAUAUAUAUGUGAAGAUGUUUAUCACAGAUACAAGAGACAUCUUGUACCCCAGGUCAGCAAUGCCAAUAUAAUGGUCUAUUCUACUCCAGAGCUUUAUUCUAAAUUAUUACCACUUAUCUUAUUGUUAGAAAUGGCUUGUAAAUGUGAUGUUAUACCUGAAUUUUUUUUGGUGUCCUGCACAUUCUUUGGUACCAGAUAUACUCAUUACUUAUGUUUACUGGUAAUUCUUUUCAUCCCAGAGCUGACCUCUUUAUAUUAUUAACAAUUAUUGUAAGUGUUAUAAUUUGCUUGUAAGCUAAGGCUGUUUUUUUUUUUAACAAUUUAAUUGGAAACCUGCAUGUUCUUUUGUGUGUGUGUGUGUGUAUAUUUUUUUUCUCUUUUUUUCUGUUAUUUAUAUUUCAGGGAUCUGACAUCAUGUUUCAAUGACAGUUACUGUACUUUGAAAUGUGGAAUUAAAACGUCAAAUGGAAAUUUGUCUGGUUUGAUCAAUCAUUAUUCUUGAUAAACUGCAUUAUAUAUAUAUUUAUAUAUAUUUAUAUAUAUAUAUAUAUAUAUAUAUAUAUAUAUAUAUAUAUAUAUAAGCGGCGACCGAUCGCUCGAAAAUAGCGUUUGCCUCCGACGGGCCGCGGAAGGGUCGCCUUUGAUAUAACGGCGGUUGGCCCGCGGGCCGGCCGCGGAACGAAGGCGGUAGGAAGGCGGCUGCCGCUUCUAAAAAGCGGCUGCCGCCGGCGGUGCACCGUCAAACGUGUUUGCGAUUACGCCAUUCUGACGCUUCUACUGCCGCCGGAGCGCCGCCGGUGGUCCGCCGACUCAUUGCUAUCUGGGUGAUUGCCUAAACCGGUGUUGUGUAAUAUUCGGUUCCUGUGAAAAACUGUUCCCGUGGGUGGGGUUUACAUGACUAUUAAUUAGUUAUCUUGUUGUGGGCGUGUCCUUGAAACAACGCAAACGAAUGGAACUGAAAAUAUCAGUGCACGCUCCUCAAAUCGCUGCUUGUUUAAUGGAUUAUUUUGAACAGGUAACGAAGUGUCAAUGUUAAGCAUUGAAGCACUGCAACAGUGUCAAAACAAUGCAGUUUGUGUAAUAUGAUAAAUCGUCUGUAAGCUGUUUUGCUUGAAUGAUUACAGGCACACAGAAAAACAAACAAUAACAAUCAAGCUAAUAACCUAUCUUACCUAAUAUAGUUUUUACUAUUUGGUGUAUUUCGCUUUUUAUAUAUUUCAUUUGUGGGCUUUAUUUUUAAUAGAUUGGUUUGAUUAGCCUAGUCAUUGGAGACUAGUACAACUAUGCCUGAAACAAACAACUACAAAUGUAUCUGUGUCUUAAUAAAAUUGGUGUGAGCAUCCUGUGUCAUGCUUUCUUUCUUUUUAAAUAACCAGUUUUUACCAGCCUCAUCAGUGUAUUUAUUUAAUUAUUCUGAAUAUCAGGUAAAAUAAUAAAGUCACACUAAAAACAUUUUCUUCUGUCACAUAUUUUCUCCUGUUGAUUUUAAAGUAUCUUCUACAGAAUGAGUCAUGCAACAUUGAAACAACAUGAGAGUGAGUUCAUUUUUAUAUUUAAAUGAACUGUCUUUUUCUUUAUUGUAUUUAGUUAACAGUCAAAUACAGAGCUUAACAGUUUAGAGAAUCUGAAAAAAAACCUACUAAUAAUAAAUACUAUAAUAAUGAAUAUCAUAUCUAAGCAUACAUUGUGUCUGUUCUUUGACCAUAUGUUGCACUGAAAAACAACCUCAUGUCAUGUUUAAGAAUAGUGAUCCAUUGUGUAAAUAAUGUUUAACAUUUGAACAUCUUUUUAAUUUUACUAUUACUAUUACAUACAAUGAAACCCAAAUGUUUUUUUGUCAGCCAAACUCUGUUCUCCUGUCGCCUACAGAGAUUAAUAUCCUCUGAGAUUAAAGUUAAUAUUUCAAUAAUUUAACAACUCUCUUUAAUGUUGACAGUUUUCUGAUGUGUAUUAAUAGUAACAUGACAUGCAGGUUAACAAAUAACAUGUCAUCUUUAAAGUAAGUUUUUUUUAUUUUUAUUGUUUAAAAUUAUACUCAAAAAAUGAUAUUGUAGAUCACAUAAAUAUUACAUUCAUUAAAUGUUACUAUGAAAAGAACAUAAGUAAUUGCUUUAUAUAAUCAAUUACAAAUUAGACUGAUUACAAUAUUUACAUUUUCACUUCAAGAAAAAAAAAAUGUUCUCAGUAGCCUAUGUAAGUAGCUUAUUUAGGUAACAAAAACACUGGCUACAUACAAACUAAACAAGUUUUUAUAAAUGACACAGAAUAGUUCGCUUAUAGGCUAGCUAUAUUUGUUUCAAGCAUUGUUGUGAACACACUGCAGUAAUAGUCACCAGUAGCCUAACUUGGCUAAUCAAACUAUUCAAACAGCAAUUAAUGCCCCACAAAUGAAAUGUAUAAAAUGCUAAACACAUAAAAAAAUAACAUUAAGAAACUAUAUCACCCAAGGUUAGCAUAGGUUAUUAGCUUGAUUGUUUUUCUGUGUGCCUGUAAUCAUUCAAGCAAAACAGCUUACAGACGAUUUAUCAUAUUACACAAACUGCAUUGUUUUGACACUGUUGCAGUGCUUCAAUGCUUAACAUUGACACUUCGUUACCUGUUCAAAAUAAUCCAUUAAACAAGCAGCGAUUUGGAGCGUGCACUGAUAUUUUCAGUUCCAUUCGCUUGCGCGUUGUUUCAAGGACACGCCCACAACAAGAGAACUAAUGAAUAUUCAUGUAACCCCACCCACGGGAACAGUUUUUCACAGGAACCGAAUAUUACACAACACCGGUUCCCUCGAAGCUGCUGCAUGCUACUCCUCCGCACGGACAGAUCAUCACUCACAGAAGUGCAGAGCCUCAGAAGUCGGUCAUUCACUGCACUGGACACCUGG
ensembl:lncRNA